UGAUUGUGAAUGUGUUUUUCAGUGACAAAUGAGACCAACAUCAGUGGACCGACGCAAACUCCAGAAUCAAAUCAGCUGUUAUGGAUUUUUGCUCUUGUUAUCAUCGUUCUUCUCAUCAUGUUCUUGAUCUGUUUCUUGCUGCGGAAAAGGAAAACCAGAUGUUUUCAGAGGGAAGUGCAGAACAACUUUGAAAACAGGGAUCCUGAAUCUGCUGUGCAAAUGAUCUGAUGAUCCUCACUGACUGCACUUCAACAGCUCCGUCUCCAGUGUUUCAUCACAUCAAUCAUUGAAUGCUGUUCAUUCUGUUACUUUAGUGCAGAGACAGAUCAGUUAAACCAUUUCAGGUGAUGAUUUUUAGCUCACUAAGUGCAUUAUUGUAGUAUUCAUAUGAAAGAUUAUAGACAUACAUUUCUUUAAUGCUAGAUGAGUCUGAUUUCUGUCAAACAAGUUUCAUAAGAGCUAAAAGACAUUGAAGCAUUGUUUCUGUAAAGCAAUUAUGCCUACAAAAUGAGAAUCCAACAUGCAUAGUUAUAGGAGUGAGGAUUUCCCAGCACAUUCCUAUCUCAGGAUCACCCUCAGACACAAUGACUCACCGCCUGUUUUGACAUGAAGACAGUAUCUGACGCAAUUACACUGGGGGAAAAACCUUUACUAGCAAGCACAAGUCCUGUAUCUAAAAUAGACACACAAUUAAAAAAUGUUUGAUGACGAAACGAGGAGAAAACACUGACAUGCACCAACAUCAGAAAUCACAACAUGCUUUGACCAAGAAUUUAUCACAUUUUACUUGUACUUUCUAUACAGUUUCCAGGCUUUUAAUUUUUCUAAAGCAUAGAUACAAUGAAAUACAGUAUAUUACUUUAAGCUUGAAGUCUGAAGUCCACUGAAGUCUGUCACUGAUUCCAAAUUGCAUGACAAAAAACAAUAAUGUAAUACACUUCAUUACACAUUUUAGACAAUAUAAUCACCACAUUCUGAUUACUUUUGACCUGACUUGUUUAUAUAUAUUUCAUUCUUUGUGAUUAGCAACAUGAAGUGCAUUGAACAUUACAUUACGUCAGUUACAACACCGCCUGCAAUUAAAGCUUCAAGAAAUGACACAUUUACAAGAACUAUGGUCCAUA